GAUGAACGCUGGCGGCGUGCCUAAUACAUGCAAGUCGAGCGAACAGACGAGGAGCUUGCUCCUCUGACGUUAGCGGCGGACGGGUGAGUAACACGUGGAUAACCUACCUAUAAGACUGGGAUAACUUCGGGAAACCGGAGCUAAUACCGGAUAAUAUAUUGAACCGCAUGGUUCAAUAGUGAAAGACGGUUUUGCUUUCACUUAUAGAUGGAUCCGCGCCGCAUUAGCUAGUUGGUAAGGUAACGGCUUACCAAGGCAACGAUGCCUAGCCGACCUGAGAGGGGGAUCGGCCACACUGGAACUGGAACACGGUCCAGACUCCUACGGGAGGCAGCAGUAGGGAAUCUUCCGCAAUGGGCGAAAGCCUGACGGAGCAACGCCGCGUGGGUGAUGAAGGUCUUCGGAUCGUAAAACUCUGUUAUUAGGGAAGAACAAAUGUGUAAGUAACUAUGCACGUCUUGACGGUACCUAAUCAGAAAGCCACGGCUAACUACGUG
rnacentral:rRNA from 1 species